rnacentral:rRNA from 1 species
AUUCCAGCUCCAAUAGCGUAUAUUAAAGUUGUUGCAGUUAAAAAGCUCGUAGUUGGAUUUCUGGUAGAAGUAGCGACCUUGGGUCUUUGACCUAUGAAGUUGCUAUCUCCAACCAUCCUUGAAGAGAUUUAGUUUGGCAUUAAGUUGUCGAACUAAAGAUAUUCAUCUUUUACUGUGAAAAAAUCAGAACGUUCAAAGUAAGCAUUUAGCUUUGAAUGUAUUAGCAUGGAAUAAUGAAAUAGGACUUAGGUACUACUUUGUUGGUUUAUGCACCUAGGUAAUGAUUAAUAGGGAUAGUUGGGGGUAUUCGUAUUCCAAUGUUAGAGGUGAAAUUCUUGGAUUUUUGGAAGACGAACAACUGCGAAAGCAUUUACCAAGGAUGUUUUCAUUA